CCGUGCUAAGUAUGUUUUCAGUGGUAUUUUUACUCGAAAACCGCUAUAGUCAGGCUGAAUAUUUUCGUUAAGUCGAUUGUGUUGGUAUAAUGUCGUUACAACCAACUAAAGUCGGGUCCCAUGCAAAUGAGCGGCGUGAACCUGGUCAGGCCGGGAACGGAGCAGCCAUAAGCGUUAGUUUGUUGUGCCGUGGAUAAACCCGACUUUAGUUGAGUGUAUCUUUAUACUAUGCAAAAUUGACUCGAAGAAAAAUGCACGG
rnacentral:SRP_RNA from 1 species